CAGCAAAGAACAGGUUUGCUUUGAUUCUUCCCACUACAGAGGUGAAGACACUGAGGCCCUGGGAGAUGAAGUGACUUUCCCAAAGUUGUUCUGGCUGGGGCUGAUUGUGGAUUUGAAUCUGGACAGUCUCAGUCAUUGGAAUCCAUCCUUCUGACCACCAUGGCAUGGAUUCCAGUUGGUGACAGUGAGGGCCCUGCUCAGUGAAGAUGCUCAUAGUCCCAGGCUGUCAAUGACUCUGCAAUUUUCAAGACAUGGUUUCCAAAGCUGUCACACUGCUAACAUCAAGCCAUCAAAUCAUGCCGGAAAACUGAGAAGGGUUGUUGACCACCUUCACGUGUGAGACCAAGCCCAGCAGAGGAAUCAAGAAAGGAGGCUGCAGCUGUGCCCUGACCGGCCUGGGGAAAGUGAGGAUAAUCCAACUCGAAACAGGGAACCCAAGCAGCUUCCCACCUGAGAAAACCUAGAAAUCAUCUCUAAGAGAGAAUGUAGCGGAAAUGUUGAACCCAGGACACAUGUAUUGUCUCUCCUCUGCCUGCUGAUAGAAAGUAAAAACAAGCUCUGCUGGAGGAUUGUGUCAAGUUCCAUUUCAGGAUAAGCUCAGGACAUGGUGAGGACCCCUCUCACCGGUACUGGUGGUGCUUUCCCAGCAGCUCAACUGGAAAGAUUCAAGGAUGAUGAUGUUUGAACUUGGACCACUGUGGUCCUUGGGACUCUGUCCUUCCAAAGGUCUUCCAAUCUACUGCCCCGUGCAUUUGAGGAAACAGAAGCUCAGAGGAGAGGGGUCAACCUGCCACAACCCUUCAGCUGCUCAGUGGAAAAUCCAAGUCCAGCUCACUAAUCUCUCACCAAAAGAAAAGCAGGAUGGAAGAGAACACACGCUUCACAUAGAAAUACCUAAAUGUCAAGUAGAUGCCAAGAUCUCUAGUAGGUUUAGGAAUCACCAUGACAAUCUUUUAAAGACUGGCUUUGUUGUUAUUAUUAAUUACAAUUUCUGGAUGAGAAUUAUUAAAA